rnacentral:lncRNA from 1 species
CAUAAAAAUUGAAGAUUUUCUUAUAUUACCAAAAAAGCUAAUGCAUGUGGGAGGGUUUAUAACUUCUAUAAUAUGACAUUAUAUUUUAUUGAAAUUAUCAAAAGUCUGAAAGAGAAAAAUGACAAAAAAAAUAGAAAUAUGAUGAAUUGUCUCCCCUUUAUGGAAAAAAAAAUGUUCAGUGCACCAAUUCUGAAGUGGAAUGUAAAACAACUGCAAUUGAUCAAGUCUUGCAGCAUAUUAAAAACUCAUUUCAAAAUGUGAAACUAAUAAUUUUUUUAAUAAAAUUGGAAAAAACACAAAUGGCUCAUGCUUUAAAAAGGAUCACCAUUUUUCCAAAACAAAUCUAUGGAACCGAACUCCUUAUUUUUUUAAACUUUUUUAUAAUUGGAACAAUUUUUUAGAUUCUGAUUUAC